GGGCGUAUGGUCAAGUGGUUACGACGUCUCAUUUGCAUUAAAUUAAGUGCCUGUUGCUUGUCUCUACAUUGCUCCCGAAGCGGUCAAAAGGUGGUGACUAUCAUUACAACCACUGCUUCCAUGUGAAGGGUCCCGGGUUCGAACCCCGGUGCGUCCA